rnacentral:rRNA from 1 species
GAUCAUGGCUCAGGAUGAACGCUGGCGGCGUGCUUAACACAUGCAAGUCGAACGGAGUUUAAACGGAGGUUUCGGAUGGAAGUUAGAAACUAGUGGCGGACGGGUGAGUAACGCGUGGGUAACCUGCCUCAUACAGGGGGAUAACAGUUAGAAAUGACUGCUAACACCGCAUAAUAUAGCGAAACCGCAUGAUUUUGCUAUCAAAUAUUUAUAGGUAUGAGAUGGGCCCGCGUCUGAUUAGCUAGUUGGUGGGGUAAAAGCCUACCAAGGCGACGAUCAGUAGCCGGCUUGAGAGAGUGACCGGCCACAUUGGGACUGAGACACGGCCCAAACUCCUACGGGAGGCAGCAGUGGGGAAUAUUGGACAAUGGGGGAAACCCUGAUCCAGCGACGCCGCGUGAGUGAAGAAGUAUUUCGGUAUGUAAAGCUCUAUCAGCAGGGAAGAUAAUGACAGUACCUGACUAAGAAGCCCCGGCUAACUACGUGCCAGCCGCCGC